rnacentral:rRNA from 1 species
GCUGGCGGCGUGCCUAAUACAUGCAAGUCGAGCGAGCAGAACCAGCAGAUUUACUUCGGUAAUGACGCUGGGGACGCGAGCGGCGGAUGGGUGAGUAACACGUGGGGAACCUGCCCCAUAGUCUAGGAUACCACUUGGAAACAGGUGCUAAUACCGGAUAAUAAAGCAGAUCGCAUGAUCAGCUUAUAAAAGGCGGCGUAAGCUGUCGCUAUGGGAUGGCCCCGCGGUGCAUUAGCUAGUUGGUAAGGUAACGGCUUACCAAGGCAAUGAUGCAUAGCCGAGUUGAGAGACUGAACGGCCACAUUGGGACUGAGACACGGCCCAAACUCCUACGGGAGGCAGCAGUAGGGAAUCUUCCACAAUGGACGCAAGUCUGAUGGAGCAACGCCGCGUGAGUGAAGAAGGUUUUCGGAUCGUAAAGCUCUGUUGUUGGUGAAGAAGGAUAGAGGUAGUAACUGGCCUUUAUUUGACGGUAAUCAACCAGAAAGUCACGGCUAACUACGUGCCAGCAGCCGCGGUAAUACGUAGGUGGCAAGCGUUGUCCGGAUUUAUUGGGCGUAAAGCGAGCGCAGGCGGAAGAAUAAGUCUGAUGUGAAAGCCCUCGGCUUAACCGAGGAAUUGCAUCGGAAACUGUUUUUCUUGAGUGCAGAAGAGGAGAGUGGAACUCCAUGUGUAGCGGUGGAAUGCGUAGAUAUAUGGAAGAACACCAGUGGCGAAGGCGGCUCUCUGGUCUGCAACUGACGCUGAGGCUCGAAAGCAUGGGUAGCGAACAGGAUUAGAUACCCUGGUAGUCCAUGCCGUAAACGAUGAGUGCUAAGUGUUGGGAGGUUUCCGCCUCUCAGUGCUGCAGCUAACGCAUUAAGCACUCCGCCUGGGGAGUACGACCGCAAGGUUGAAACUCAAAGGAAUUGACGGGGGCCCGCACAAGCGGUGGAGCAUGUGGUUUAAUUCGAAGCAACGCGAAGAACCUUACCAGGUCUUGACAUCUAGUGCCAUCCUAAGAGAUUAGGAGUUCCCUUCGGGGACGCUAAGACAGGUGGUGCAUGGCUGUCGUCAGCUCGUGUCGUGAGAUGUUGGGUUAAGUCCCGCAACGAGCGCAACCCUUAUUAUUAGUUGCCAGCAUUAAGUUGGGCACUCUAAUGAGACUGCCGGUGACAAACCGGAGGAAGGUGGGGAUGACGUCAAGUCAUCAUGCCCCUUAUGACCUGGGCUACACACGUGCUACAAUGGGCAGUACAACGAGAAGCGAGCCUGCGAAGGCAAGCGAAUCUCUGAAAGCUGUUCUCAGUUCGGACUGCAGUCUGCAACUCGACUGCACGAAGCUGGAAUCGCUAGUAAUCGCGGAUCAGAACGCCGCGGUGAAUACGUUCCCGGGCCUUGUACACACCGCCCGUCACACCAUGGAAGUCUGCAAUGCCCAAAGCCGGUGGCCUAACCUUCGGGAAGGAGCCGUCUAAGGCAGGGCAGAUGA